AACGCUUGAGCCAACGGCCGCACAGUGGAUCGAGUCGAUAGGACAGGUCGGACAAAAUUUGGAAACUUUGUGAGCUUAUAUCUCCGUUUAUACAAAACUUUGAGGUUCCAUCGGUUUCCUCGGUGAAAUUUUCUUCUAGUAGCACCCCUCAAAAUCGAGAAUAUGACGAAAUAAACAUCUAAAUUUGUAGUUAUAGUCAACAAUUUUAUGUCCGACCUCUCUAAUUGACUCGAUCCACUGUGGGCCGGCCGGCCGUGAUCCGAGCGCAAAUAUUUGCACUUUCGGCGGGCGUCAAGCGUCAAAGCGCGCUUAAAUCAUCAUUGAGAUUUCGGGGGGCACUGGUGACCCCGGCGGCACAAUUGGGCAAACAGCCACACGCGCCCGUUUAAAAGCAGAAAAUCGACUCCGAUUCUGGUUAAACCUCCUGUAAGACCGGGAGAUCUGUUGUGUCGCAUCGCCGUGACGAUGCACCUCAAAUCGUGGGCCACUCUCGGCGUGCUCUUGGUGGUCGUCGCUAUCGCUAGUGUAGAUGGACUGGAGGAAGAUGACACUUCUGAUCCCGCCGUUCUCGAAAGAAGAAUAGUACAGCUCGGUUUACUCGCCGCCCCGCUGAUGAAGAAGGGUGGGGAGGCAGCGGUGAAAAAGAUUAAACAAGAAAGGAAUAAGAAGAAGGAGAAAAGGAAGAGACAGAGAGAGGCUCAGCAACAGAGAGACAGGGAAGCAAAGAGGAAAAAAGAAGAGGCAGACAAAGAAGAAGAAAGCAAGAAAAAAAGUAAACGGCAGAAGAAGAAAGAAAAAGAAGAAAAAGAAAGAGAAGAAAAAGAAAAAGAGAAAAAUAACAAUUCAACCACACCGAUGGAGAACGGUGGUGGCGGUAUGCACGGGAUGGAGUCACUGAACAAGGAAGGUGGUGUCGGUGGUGGCGAAGGUGGUGGUGCCGGCGGCGGCAUGGGCGAAAAGAAAUCGUUGGAGGGUACCGGUGGUGGUGCCGAAGGCGAAAGGAAAUUGACGGAGGGCACCGGUGGUGCUGCCGGCGGAGGCCUGAGCGAGAAUAAGUUAGGAGGUGGUGAAGGUGGUGGUGUCGGUGGUGGUGAAGGAGGUGGUGUCGGUGGUGGUGCCGGCGGGGGCAUGAAGGCGCAUGGUGAAGGAGGUGGUGUCGGUGGUGGUGCCGGCGGGGGCAUGAAGGCGCAUGGUGAAGGUGGUGGUGAAGGUGGUGGUGCCGGCGGGGGCAUGAAGGCGCAUGGUGAAGGUGGUGGUGAAGGUGGUGGUGCCGGCGGGGGCAUGAAGGCGCAUGGUGAAGGUGGUGGUGUCGGCGGGGGCCUAGGCGAGAAGACGGAGGGUGGUGGUGUCGGUGGUGGUGUCGGCGGGGGCCUAGGCGAGAAGACGGAGGGUGGUGGUGUCGGUGGUGGUCUUGGUGGUGGUGAGAGUGCUGGUGGCGGUUUCAACGAUAAGAAAACAGGUGAGACCGGCACACCGGAAAGUUUAUCACCGUCACCCCCCGCAGUCUAGUCACCAUCGGGUUGAUCCGUGACCUUCAUCGGAAUACUUCAACUUCAGACGCGUUGCCCUGGCAACCCACGGCUGAACUCCGAUGGAAGAUCUCUGUACUCAAUGCGCACUGAUUUAAUUAUGAUUAAUUAGCACUGCAGCAGGACCCGCCGCGAUCACGUUCGCCCUCGUUUUUAAACAGCUCCUUUCGUUGUGAAGCCCUUCCUGAUUUACAUUGUUAAUGAGGGAGGUUUAAAAGAGCCCGUAAGGGUCCGUACAAGUAUUACGUAAGGCACUUAGGAAGGAGGGGUCCCAGCUUGCCUUACGGAGCCAUGAGAAGGGGGUAGGGGGUCAAGCCGACCUCCUCCUCUUACUAUUUCAGGGGAAAAAGUCCCCGAUUUUCUUGAAAAACACCCCUAAAAGUACCCGAAAGUCCCCAAUUUCGGUUAUUUAUAACUGAUAAACACCCUGACAAUUUUUCAAUUAUUUGCUUCUAUUUUACCAGGCUUCCUCAGUUUUUUUUCUGGAAAAAUGGGGGGCGGUCAAUCUUACGUAAUUCAAAGGGGGGCCAGAGGUUUCUUACGGGUGCCUUACAAGGGGGAAGGGGGGAGUCUAAAAGUUGGCAAAAAUGCCUUACGUAAUACUUGAACAGCCCCUAACAUUAACAUAGCAUCAUAAGAAAGAUAGUUCGACCAAUGUUGAAUGAAAUUCAACCGUAUAACUUCGCCAAAGACCCCUCCGAGGAAUUGAAAUUAUUUGCCCCUAAAGAAAAAUAAAAAAUACCGAAGAAAAUGAUCUCCACAUUCUGUGAGUUUGCACCCACUUUUAAUUUUUUUGAAAUCGAAAACUUUUUCACUUUCUGCAGUGUUAUAUCAUUACAUUUCUUCGCAAUAAUUUAUUUCCGAAAUUAUAUCAUUAAAUUUCACUCAAGACCCACCUAAAAAUUGUAAAAAGCUGUUUUUUUAAACUUUGUAAAAAAAUGUUAUUGAUAUAAAAUUUUGUUUUUUUACUUGAUGAAAUUUUUCUUAAUCCCGGUUGAUGCCGAUUGGGCAAGGCACUCAGAAAAUAUGUAUCCAUACUUUCCGUAGUUUUCUUCUUGGAAGUAAAUGGACUAAUUCGCCUGAUGGGUGAUGACCUUAUUGCUGGGCAAUCUGCUCAGCAAGCAAGACUUCGUUACGCAGGCCGACUAGUGUUGCAAACUGAUCAUCAUCAGUCGUAAUUACGUCAGUAAAAUUCGCAACAACCACUCUCAAGUUUCAAGCGAAAAAUACUGUUGAGCUCCGUUUUUGACCCAUUCCUCAUCCUACUCUUACUCCAUAAUAUAAAAUCACAAGAGAGACUCGUAACACAGAAUCUGAUCAUCCCCAAUAAUCAAAUGCGAUACGAGUGAGGAGGGAACUAUUUGAUUCAAGGUACGGAACUCAAGGUACGGAACUUAAGGCGCGUCCUAGGACGCUGUCGCCGGCGUCCGGACGCCGGCGGACGGACGCCGAUAAAAUCUGUCCAAUGAUUUUGGGUGGGGACGGCACCUUAGCGGCGAAGAGACGCUGCGGAAAACGCCGAUGGAGGACGCUCCGAUCUGUCGCCAACAGAUCGGAGCGGAGACGCCGACAAAUUACGCUCAGUCCGCUGCCUUUCCUACCGCUUUUCGAAUGUGUUUAGUUCGACAAACCCGCGAAUCGAUCACAAAAGCCGUAAAUUGAUCAAGAUAAGCUGUGAAUCGAUCGACAAUCCCGUGAAUCGAUGGAAAAGAGCCGUGAAUCGAUGCGAUCGACCCACCCGUGCAUCGAUCGACAAAAGCCGUGAAUCGAUCGACCAGGCUGUGAAUCGAUCGACAGACCUGUGAGUUGAUCGGCAAACCCGUGAAUCGAUCGACCAAGCUGUGAGUCAAUCGAAUUACGUCGAUCGGUUCACGUUUUGGUUUUUCGGUCGAUUCAUGUCGAUGGAAUUGAUACGGUUUUUUUUUUUAAAAAAAUUAAUUGUCAAUCAUUCCUCGUCGAUCGAUUCACGUUUUCCCCGAUCGAUUCAUGUCGAUCGGAUCGACACUGAUAUUUUAAGAAUUUGUCCAUCGCAUCGGUGCCGAUCGAAUCGCGUUUUUAUUUUUCGGUCGAUUCUUGUCGAUCGAAUCACGUUUUUAUCUUUCGGUCGUUUCUUGUCGAUCGAAUCCACACCCUCCUAAAAAAAAAAGCGCGUCUAGCCAUUUUCGCGGCUCAAAGCAUACUGUCCGAUCAACGAAAAUUCGAGAAAUCGACAGCGGACAGAGCGGAAAAAAUCCACGAAUUCCGCUCCUUAGGUGCCGUGCUCCAAAAUGUGAGCGUCUUCUCGCCCUCGACUCGGUAGCAGCAUUUCCCGCCGGCGUCCAGGACGCCGGCGACAGCGUCCUAGGACGCGCCUUAAGUUCCGUACCUUCAGUGGCGAGGCGUGAAUGAUCGAUUAUAGAUAUCUCCCCAUUUGAAGCUUUGGUGAAGAAUCGAUUAUUAAGGUGUUCAUCACGAACACCCUGUUUAUCGAUCCUUUUCUAUUGGUUAAAAUGGCAGCUUAAUCGAUAAAUCGCACGGCACUCCGAAUCUCACUCCAAAAUUUCUAACACUGAUUCAGGUAUUUCUGUAGUAAUACCGUGUCUCGUUUCAAUACUUCAGUUUUAUAGAAAAGUCGAUUUAGAGCUUUUGGCGAAACGAUUUUUAACUCGCGAUGAGUCCAAUAAAUGGAAAUGCAGGAAAACUCCUAAAUGAGACACUGUGUCUUUUUAACACUUACAAAAUACAAUGUUUGAAAGCAUGUUGAAAUUUCUUAAAAAAAUACUAGUUUUUCUUCAUAAAGACUUUUUCAAUGUAAAUUUUACUAAAGGUAAAUGCUUAUUAUGCCUUGUCUUAACGGGACAUUUCAUGGGAUCUGUCCCAAGGAAAAAUCUCACUUGCGAAGUUGGGAAAAUUAUGGAGUUAGUCAAUACUAAUCACAGUGCCAACUAAGAGUCAUUGUGGAGUCUCAGAAAUGACUUAAAAAGAAGAAGAAGAAAUUUGGUUGUGUUGCUUAACGGGGAAAAAGCCAAGAAGUUUCAUUCCUGCAACUCGAACUUGGGGAAAACCCCGUGAAACGUCCCGUGGAGACAAGGAUUUAGAAAAAUCCAAAAAUAAAAUCCUAAAACCUAACUCAUGAUAGUUUUUUUAAGUUUUGAAAAAUGCUUCUAAACUGUAUCGUCGUUGUUUCGGCACCCCUGAGUUUUAAACGGUUAAGGUGUUUCUUCUCCCCUUUGGAGAACGAUUCGAUGGACGAUCGAUCAAUCGAUAAAUUUCUGGACAUUAGGACAUUUCUUAAGAGUUUCCGAGCACCACAUCACGCUGCAGUACGUCCGAUAUUUGUACACAAAAUUUGACUGAGAAGCCCUUCAAAAUAACUCCGAAAGUAUGUUCCGAUGGAAUAUCGCAAAUCAAAAACCAAAAUGAUCUACCAUGAUCACUCGAAACUUAUAUUUAAAGCUAUUUCAAUUUGUUUCUUUGGUCAAAUUUGUACCUAUCUGACGCGGUAUAGUGUGAUGUAAUGCUUAGAAAGUUUGAAGAAAUGUCCAAUAAUUCAGAAAUUAUGAAUUGAUCGAUCGACUACAGGUUGAUAUUUCCCCCAUUUGAAGAUAAGGUAAAUAAUAGAUUAUUGAGGUAUUCGUUGCGAAUACCCUGUUAAUCGAUCCUUUCCGAUAGGUUUCAAUGGCAGAUUAAUCGAUUUAUCAAAAAGUACGCCACGCCACAAUCUACAGAGUCCUACAGAUCCAUCUUAAGCUCGACUGAAGUUAGCUUUACUGAUCACAAACCGGCAACGUUCCAAAUCAACAUUCCACAUUGAGAUCAUCCCACCGGUGAAAAAGCGAGAGCAAAAAAUUAAGACGCGUGCUCAAAGGAACGAGUGUCUUGAAAAUGCAGAUAUACUUGGACGUGUUUCUGCCAAACGGAACUAUGUGCAUUAUGUCGUGAGCCCCGUUAUGCAUACAUUCGUAUGGGUCUCAGGGCUCAUGUCUUAAUGCACAUGGUUCUGUUC
rnacentral:lncRNA from 1 species